UUAAAAUAUUAAAAAAAAUUAUAUAUUGUUAUGUUUAAGUAUUUUUUAAGGAAUAAAUAAUUUUUAUUAUAGUGGAAUAGUAUUGUAAAAGAAAAUUGAAAUAAAUUGAAAAAUUAUUAUUUUAGAAGAAAAUUUUAUUAAUUGUACCUUGUGUAUCAGGGUUUAUUAAAUAAAAAUUAUUAAUAAUAAUUUUCUCGAUUUUAAAAGAGUUAAUAUAUUAUAAAAGUUAAUGUAGUAAAAUUAUUUUUAAUAAUAUAUUAGAAAUGAAAUGUUAUUCGGUUUUAAAGGUAUCUAGUUUUUUAAGAAAUAAAUUUAAUUUAGAAAUUUUAUAUUAUUUAAUUUAAUGAAUUAAUUAAAUAAUUAUUUAAUUUUAAUAUUUUAUGGGAUAAGCUAUAAAAUAAAUUAUUAAAAAUUAAUAAAUGUAUUAAUAAAUAUAGGUUUAGAAAUAGCUAUUAUUAGUAAAUUUGUUAUAAUUUAUUUUAUAAUAAAUAUUAUUUAUUAAAUUUUAAUUUUUUAUUAAAAUAUUUAUUUUAAUAUAAAAAAUAAAAAAAUUAUGAUAAAAUUAGUAUAUUAUAAUGUAUAAAUAUUUUAAUUUGAAAAGUUUUUAUAAAGAACUCGGCAAAUUUAAUGUUCGCCUGUUUAACAAAAACAUGUCUUUUUGAAUUUUUUUUAAAGUCUAACCUGCCCACUGAAUUUAAUUUAAAUGGCCGCAGUAUAUUGACUGUGCAAAGGUAGCAUAAUCAUUAGUCUUUUAAUUGAAGGCUGGUAUGAAUGGUUGGACGAAAUAUUAACUGUUUCAUAAGAAUUUAUUUUAGAAUUUUAUUUUUUAGUCAAAAAGCUAAAAUGAAUUUAAAAGACGAGAAGACCCUAUAAAUCUUUAUAUUUAUUAUAUUAAUAUUUUUUAGAAUUAUUUUAUUUUGAUAUAUAGUAAUAUUUUAUUGGGGUGAUAUUAAAAUUUAAUAAACUUUUAAUUUUUAAAAUCAUUAAUUAAUGAUAAAUUGAUCCGUUAUUAACGAUUAAAAAAUUAAGUUACUUUAGGGAUAACAGCGUAAUUUUUUUGGAGAGUUCAUAUCGAUAAAAAAGAUUGCGACCUCGAUGUUGGAUUAAGAUAUAAUUUUAGGUGUAGAAGCUUAAAUUUUAAGUCUGUUCGACUUUUAAAUUCUUACAUGAUCUGAGUUCAAACCGGUGUAAGCCAGGUUGGUUUCUAUCUUUAAAUAUUUAAAAUAUUUCAGUACGAAAGGACCUAAUAUUUAAUAAAUUAUUAUUUUUAUUUAGAAUAUAAUUAAUA
rnacentral:rRNA from 1 species